UACAGAGGGUGCAAACGUUGUUCGGAAUCACUGGGCGUAAAGGGUGCGUAGGCGGCGUGGUAAGUCAGAUGUGAAAUCCCGGGGCUCAACCCCGGAACUGCAUCCGAUACUGCCAUGCUUGAGGACUGGAGAGGUGACUGGAAUUCUCGGUGUAGCAGUGAAAUGCGUAGAGAUCGAGAGGAACACUCGUGGCGAAAGCGAGUCACUGGACAGUAUCUGACGCUGAUGCACGAAGGCUAGGGGAGCGAAAGGG
rnacentral:rRNA from 1 species